rnacentral:rRNA from 1 species
CCUACGGGAGGCAGCAGUGGGGAAUAUUGCACAAUGGGGGAAACCCUGAUGCAGCGACGCCGCGUGAGUGAAGAAGUAAUUCGUUACGUAAAGCUCUAUCAGCAGGGAAGAAAUACUUACCUUACGGUCAGCAGACGGUACCUGAGUAAUAAGCCCCGGCUAACUACGUGCCAGCAGCCGCGGUAAUACGUAGGGGGCAAGCUUUAUCCGGAUUUACUGGGUGGAAAGGGAGCGUAGACGGUGCGCCAAUUCUGGAGUGAAAUGCCGCAGCUUAACUGCGGAACUGCUUUGGAAACUGGCGAACUAGAGUGCGGGAGGGGUAAGCGGAAUUCCUAGUGUAGCGGUGAAAUGCGUAGAUAUUAGGAGGAACACCGGUGGCGAAGGCGGCUUACUGGACCGUAACUGACGUUGAGGCUCGAAAGCGUGGGGAGCAAACAGGAUUAGAUACCCCAGUAGUC